CUCUUGUGUAUCUUAAAGUUAUUUUAUUAAGGAAAACUUUCAGUAAAGAUUAUAAGACUGAAGACUUGGUGCUGUAGGUGAUUGAGAGAGAAAAGAAUGUUACACAGUGUUUUAUUUCAUUAUGUUGUGUUUCUACUGUGUGAUAGCUUGGAAGACAAAAGGGUACUGCAGAAGCAGAAUUGACUUCACAGUCAAUUCAACAGCAGAUAUGUUGCUGUACAUAGGUGUAUGACUGGGUCAAACUAGUGUGAAAAACAAAUCAGGAUAACAUGUUGUAAAUACUCAGGUAAAUUAGUGACAUUUGCCUACCUUGUAUUUAAUUAUUUCAAAUAUUUUUACAGGAUCAGCUUAUCCAAUUUAUGUCUGGUUCAGAGCUUCGCUGUCAAGUCUUAUUUUGAAACAGAAUACCUAUGUCUAUACAGUUGAAAUAAUACCUUAUGUUAAUCUCUGCACAGAUAGUUUAAAAAAAUACAGGCAAACAUUUUUGAGGGUAAUAAACUAUGCAUACCCAGGGUUGUGAAAGUUCCCCUGGAAACAUUUGAGAGAAAAAUUUUGCUGCUCUUGUGGAAAUCUCAGUAGCCUGACUAGCCUAUUUGCUUCUCUUUGGAAAUGCUAACAGAUAGGAGAGCAGGCUGUGGACUUGCCGAGGGCUCUUCUUUGGGCCUGAACUGUGUUGUUUCUUUUUUAAGAUAAAAAUCUUUGAGAGCUUUUUAGUGCAACAAACUUCUUUUCAGAAUUGCAUAAAUAUGUGUUUGUGUGUUUGUCCAGAAAGGAGAAAGAGAUGAGAUCUCAAGACGCGUUGUAAGCCUCUGGCUCAUGGAUGUUUGAAAAGUGAAUGCUGGCAUAACUCUUAGAACAGCAAAGGCUGAACUCUAAAUCCUCAUUGUCUGAACUGUCAGGAUGGUGAAGGUGAUUAGCAAGCUGCUUAGAUUGAAAAGUGGCCUAUUUUAGGUGGUUACUCAGCUAACACUGGGACAACGUGUGAGCGCUUUGAUACAUACUGACACAAAUGACAGGACAAAGAAGCAUGCGUGGAAAUAAAAUGAAAAUUCAGAACAGAUGUCAGGACAUGUUUUUCAUGCUGAAUGUGCAGAGCGGUCAACCAGUGCAACUCUCCACAAUACAGAGUGAGACUUUCGUGUCUGUGUGUGUUCCUGGCAUGUCCAACACGGCUACUGAUUUCAAGAGGAGCUCAAGGAAUGUGCAGUGGGCUUUUGUCACCUCACCUUUCCAGAUGUUUCUUAAGAACUAAGCAGUUACUUAUCAAGUUGAUUUCUCCCACCUCUCCCAGUUUUCAACAGCUGAAGAAGGCAUGUGGUGUUAGAGAGUCUUACGGUGUGGGAAACUGUCUUUUGACCAGCAAUUCAACACUAUGGAAAAGGAGCUUUACAAAAAUCGAUACCUUAACAAAGGCCUAGCGUGCAAAUGUAACAAGUAAGUCAAUGUGGCAUAAACCCUGUGAGAAAUACUAUGCAUUCUAGAGACAUUUAAGAAAUAAAAUUUUUUGCUUAGGACAUAUUAGUUUAUUCCUUGACAACGGACCUACAGGGGGAAUCAAAUGGAUGACGUGGGAUGAGGCCUGCAUUCAGAGGCUUGAGAAUCUUUUACUACCUUAGGAAACUAAAAGUUGUCAUUGCACUAACUGAAAGAGAUGACUCCCAGUAUAACAAAAAUUCCACCUCUGUAACAGUACUACUGUGAGAGAGUAGCUCAGAAUCUCCUUUAUGCUAGCUAGCUGGACUUCACAAUUACUCAACUAUUUUCUUCAGCAAGAGUUUAGAAAGGCCCUUGGGAGGUAAGGUAAAAGAACAUCCCUGGGAUAGGGAGAGUUGGUUAGGUGCUCAUAUGAUUCCUUAAAGAUACACAGUGUUACGGUGUCUUGAGACCCUCUUUUGCUUUUUUCAACUCUGAGCCUUUGAAAUUUGGACCCCAGUCCUUGCAGGAAUAAUUCUAUACCACAGCCCUCCAAGACCUUUGAAAACUGAUAGCUCCUUGGUAAUGGUAAAACAGAAAUGGUAAGUACAUUUUGACACGACCUCCUUUUAUUUGUUUCAUCUACAUUUUAAGAAUAAAAAUAAAACAUUGCUUCCCUCACCCCAUUUGUUUUUUUUUUAAACUCUGAAGUACAAUACACAGAUUGUCUAGCAAGUAAGGUUUUGUACACACUUGCAUGCAUGCAUUAAACUGAUACAUUUAAUUAAUGAAGACACCUUAGGGCUCAAGCCUCAUUUUGCAAUUACAGUAUAAAAAAUUAAGUGCGCGUAUAACGUUUGUGAAUUUUCACCACUGAAAUCUUUGAAAAGAACACAUAAAACAUCAGCUGCAUUCCUACUUAAAACAUUAUUCUGAAUAUUACUGUGAUAAUACACUGUCUUAGCAGCACGGCUUUGGCAAACAGAGAAGCUAUAUGCCUUCCUUUUCCUCUGAAGUGUGUAGACCAAACUUCUCAUUGCUUUCCUUGCAAUGCAUACAUGGUAAGUUUGUUAAAGUGAGAGCUGUUUCUUUGUGGGCUUGUGCAGUAUUUAGUACAAAGAAUGUUGAAAAGUAUUUGAGACAUCUGUACUCUGCUUCUAGGAAUGUAAAUUAUAAAUGGUAACUGACAUAUCUAAAACAAGUAUACUGUAGAAGGUAAUUACAGAGAGAAUAACAAAUUCAAUUUAGAAUUGUAACUUUUCUUUGUGUUGUAACAAUUAUUUUCAAGUGCUUUGCUAGCUGGGAGGGUUCACAUCAUCUUCAGGAUCCAAAUUUUCCGUGCACUAUAAGAUAAAAGUACCAGAGAGUAAUAUUCAUAAAGACUGAAACUUGCUGGAGGAGAAAGUGGAGGAAGCUGUCCAGAUCAUGAAUAUUAAUCAAUGAGGAAGGGUCAUGCCUUUAUUCCCAUCCCUCAGUUAGGAGUUCCUGAUUGCUGCAUUUCAACCGAGUGAGAUACUUAAACUGUAGUACAUUGUUAGAAAGGCAUUGAAGGAAAUCUGUUUCCUCACCUGCCAAUAAAAGGACUCCAUUCAGUUCUGCAGAAGUAGUUACUGAACUGAAGAACUGGAGCCUGGUUGUGUUUGCUGCAUCCCUGACAAAAUACCCUAAAACUGUGGGCAACAGGGUAUGCAUUUCAUAUUUUCUUUAGUUCAUUCAUUGUUUAGUGUGUAGUAAAAGUCAUAUCUUUUAUGCAAUUUGACGAAUUGAAAUAACUGCCAUCAUAACUGAGUUUUCUAUGUGGUUUAGAUACUUUUCAACACUGUUCUAGUGCUGUCAUAGAAAAUGAACACACGAAUUGCUCAUUUAAAAAAAAAAAAAACAAUCAAGAAAAACAGGCAUCAUUGCUCUAAAGGAAUUCCAAAGACUCUGAAGAAACACUUUUUUUGGAUUUAACAAAAAAUGAUAUGAGUGGGAGUUCUGAGUCAGAGUGCAUGUGUUAGUUUCACAUUGUUCUUUAAAAAUUCUUCCUCUUAAAUUUACAAAUGGUAUUCCACUUUCUGACAGAAGUAUGGAUACCUGAACAGUGGUCUGAGGAAAACAUAUAGAACCAAAUGCAAAUUUCUGUUCCAGUGCCCUUCUGGGAAUAGGCUUAUUAAGGGAAAUUAAGAACUCAUUUUGUGGAAAGAAAAGCAUUUGCAAUAAACUGAAAUGAAAAUUGAUGGUAGCAUUUUCUUCACUUAGUAGCAUUCUGGUGAGUGGGCUGGAGACUGUGAUUCCUAAAAGUGAAUAGUAGCUAAUAUGGGUGAAUUGUAACUGAGACUCGUUUUUUUCUAGGUUUUUGGAAGGGCAAAUAUUCAUACAAGUAAAUAGUUUGGCACAGCCCUCAGUGUGCAUGCAUGAAAGUGCUAGUUAAUACUAUCAAAAUUUGACAUUUUGGUUUUUUCUGUUUUUUUAUGGAUCUUGCCUGUUCUGCAGCUGUUCUUUAUUAUACAAGAUGACUAGAAGGUGAAAUAUAAACAUGAAGAAGAACAGAAUAGUAGUACUAUCUUACCUGCUUGUUUGAUUUUCCAAGUUUCAUAUAUCAACCCUUGCAGUGAGUAUAAGUCUUUGCAGUACAAAGUCAGUGCAAGAGCAGUUCAAGGUAACAUUAGACCUAUUAAUAGGCCCAGUAGGCUGGUGUUAGUCACAGAAGUCAUAAACCAUCAGGCUUCUGUUAUUACUGACUAUGGUCUUAUUGUAUGUUAAAAACCAUCUAAGUCUUUCCAGAUCUGCAAAUACAAUAGCUAAAAGUAGGGAACAGGGGAGAGGUGCCUAGCUUUUUACAGAAGGGCUUGCAGAAUAAAAAUUUCUGAUGACAAAUUAUUCCAUGCCAACUUCUCUUAUUGUGAAGAUUCUUAUAUGGAAUUUUGAAAGGUAGUUUUCCUUUAUUUUAUAUUGUGCUACAAAAUAAAACUCCAUAGCUCUACAUGAGAAUUAAGUGUUUGCCUGUGACCUUGUUCUUCACAUUCACCUGCUCAAAACCCACGCUACAGAUAGAAGUUGCUGGAAGCCCUCCAAGUAAACUAAUAAAAACUCUUACUUGAGGAAGUGGGAGAGGGAAUGAGCAGAAGGAGUCAGCUUGAAUGUUUCUUCAGUAUAAUCUGCAAUGUGCAAGUCUGUGGUCUUGAAGAAAAUAAGCACAUUAAUACUCUAAAGAGCUAGGUGGGGAAUAAUUUCCAUUUUCUUCAUUGAAAUGAAGAGCCUCUUGAACUAGUAGCUUAUAAAAUAUGGGGGGGAAAUGUUAAUACCUUCACAGACAUGAUGUAAUUAUGGGGGCUUCUUCAAAUGAACUAUUUCUAAAAUGAUACAGUUGGUUCUUACUUUGCAAAUCCUCUUCAAAACCACUAUCAGUGUCAGUCAAAGAGUAUUCAAAUCAAGCUGAAAAUGAUCUCAGUUUGUGGUUCUGAGAUAUCCAUAGUAAUUCCAAGUACUGGAGUGCCUGGUGUUUUUUCUUUCUUUGACAAGGAGAGAGUCUUGCUGAGUGGGGUUGGAAAGAGAACCUGGGAAGAGUUUCACUUCAUUGUUUCAAUUUGCAUUAGAUAAAAUGGGCGUCCCAGAUGUCUUUUUAAGGAGACAGACACUGGAACUUUAAAACUUCAUUUUCUUUCUUUCCGGGAAGACAAUUUUAAGCUUUGAACUCCAACAUUCUUAAAUAAUAAUAAUGGGCAUAGAGAUGAGGGUGACUUUUUUAAAUUCCCAAAAAGAUGGGAAAAUUAAGCAUUUGCAGCAGUACCUAGAGAUCUAGCUGAAAUGAGGAUUUUUGUAAUUCUGUAUACUCUUUGUACAUAUGAGACAGACAUUCCUACUCAGAUAGAACCUAAGCAGACAAUAAGACAAAAGGGGAAGCGAAACACUAGGUAUUAGCUUGAAGUUUAGGACUAGAAUUUCUCAGCAAAUUAAGUUUGUAUCAGACUGGGGAGCUGAAUCCUGCCCAGCGACUCAAUCACAAGAACAACGCUACAAAACUUAAGGGAAGGAAUCAGAUGGGUAACCUUCCAGAGCUUCAAAUAAAUAUCAGAUUAUAAUUCCAACUCUGCGUUUCUUAUUCAGACUAACUCCCUAAUCCAAACCCCUUGAGAAUCUCUCUACCUUUUUAAUGCACCCAUCAGUACAUAUUCCAAACAGUGUGUAUUCAGCAGACAAUGGUGAUUGUUGUGGUGGGUGGCAAAAUAUGCAGUGGGUUGCAGUAGCAACGAUUACAUCCUGUAUCUCUUUAAUAUAAUGCGUGGUUCAUAUUUCAAAAACUGUUUAUAGUUAGAGAGUAAAAUAUGACUUUGAUUAAUAUUUACAUCCAAUCUAAUGCCUUCAUUUGUUCCAUUGUCUCAUUUUAAGCACUUGUAUGCAAAAGAUUCUGAUGUUAUGUCAGCUGAAGCUUAGCAACUGCUAUUAUUGAUUAUAGCCUUGAUGGAAACUUCUCAGCAGUUUACAGUAUUUUGUUAGGAUAUUUGAAGAGACAUAAAGUAUUAUUAUAAAGAAGCAAAGCUAGGUUUGGCAAAGAGCCUUUCUUUUGUCUGUGAAACUCUCUUCAGUAAAUUUAGAACAGAAGGACUUUUCUCUGGAGUGAAAAAUAUAUGUAUUGCUGGCUACAAGCGUAAGUUUGCUGCUUCACCAAUUUAGAAUUAGAUGAUGGACUUAUUUAGUAGACAUUGGAUAGUAAAAAGUAAAGCCCAUAAUUUAAAACGUUCCACAUUACCACAUUCCAAGAAAAACAUGGCCCGGUGAACAAAACCAGCAGUAUUGUAAUAAGAAAACAACUAGGUGCAUUUUUUCCAAAACCUAAACCCAGAAAUCUAAAUGCAUGAGUUACUGGCUAAAAAUGCCAUUUUCAUGUCUCCAUUUCUUCGUGGACUGAAAGAAAAAAAAAACCAAAUUGAGAAAAAAAGAUGUAAUACUCCAGGUGAAGAUUCAGAAUGCUGCUGUAAUGUUACAAUCUUUUUUGAAUCUUAAUGUUGCUUCUUUAAUUUUAAAAAUAGGCUUUUUUUUUCUUUAUAGGAGAUAUAUUGUUACAACAAUUUUGUUUUUGUUUGCUUUGUUUUAAAUGUAAGAUUUUUUUUAAGGAAGUGUAGUAAUUACUGUAUCAGAAGGAUUUCUGUCAUUGCAUUUCCUGCACUGGCUUUGCUACUGAAUCUAGGAAAAGGGUCAAUUUUCACAUGAACUACAGAAGACAACUGUUGACAUGUAACAUUCACUGUAUUAAAGCAUGCUGCAUGAGUUCCCCUCUUAUUGAUAUCCCUUUCUGAUUGCUAUAUGCUGCUAAGUACUAAUCGUAAGUCAUAACUAUGCAUCUAAGUUACACCUAUGCUAAGUGAGUAGCACAGUCUAAAAUUCCAGUCCAAUUCUCUAAAAGAGCAGCUUGAUUUAAGUUACUGGAUCAUAAUUUCACUGGUUGAAAUUGAGACUGGAAGAUGGUGGGAAGACAGAAGAGAAAAGUGUUAGCCAGAUGCUUGAAUCCCUGAUCUUCUGAAGUGUUGAAGCAACUUUGCUUGGGUGUUCUAAAGGGUUUUUUUCAGGACAAGAGAAUCUGUAUCUGUACAAGAGGAUGGACAUUACUACAUAGAUACCUGUUCAAAUUAAAGGAAGCCCCUGAAAACGAAACCAGAAAAAAAAACCAUUAUGAGGAAGAUAAGGCAUAUAUAGGCAAGAUACAGGGAAUCUGAAAUGUGAUUUUCUCAUCAUGCUUGACUUGAAUGUGCUGCCUUCUGUAGCUUACCCUCUGUUGAACAUGUAAUUAAGGAAUUGAAAUCUGAGAGAUGGAUCAGAGGUGGAUUACAGAUACAGAUGUCAAUAGGAUAAAGGAUGUAGAUGCCAGGAAUUGCUGCUGUGUCCACAAGACUCUACUGCUGCUUCUGUCUCUCUGAAGGAAAUGUUUCUUUCACUUACCCUUGUGCAAAAAUCAAGAGACCUACCUUCUACAGGAAGACUUCCUUCCUGUAGAAACCUCAUUCCUCUCAAUAAUGAAACCACCAGCUGCUUUCUAAAGAACUAUUUUUCUUCUGUCUCAUCUUUAAGAGGACUGAAAUGCUACUCAAUUGUUUGUACAUGUAUACGAAGCUGCUGUUAUGUACUGUCCCUAAAAUUUCAUAGCCACUUUCCAGUGAUAGCAAUGUUCCAGAGUUCAUAUUUAGCUAUUUUCUAACAGUAGGCAGGAGAUUAUUUUUAAAUAUUAUUAGUUUUGAUGGGGUGAGGGGCAAAGGCAAUUUCUGUAUGCUGGAUAUGCUCAGCUGUUUGAUCUCUUGCUGUUCAUGGAUAGUCAAAUAUUAAUCAGAAGAACAUGGCGUGUAAUGACAAAGUUGAUUGUACUUUUAUUUUAUAUCUUCUAUCUCCUAACUGUGCACAGUGUUUUGUACAAUUCUACGAUGGACCUAAAAAUAGCACCAAAAUGUGUGUGUCAAAUGCAUCUCCCUUAAGAGAUUUGAUGUGAAUACUCCAUUAUGUGCCCUGAUCUCCAUUGCCUGAAGGACAAGAAGUUUAGUUCUUGAAUCAACUUUGUGUGUAAAAAUUUGAGUUCAUAUAUAAAGCAGAAAUAUUAUGGCUGUUCAGAACCAAUGGGUGGUAGGCAUUAAGAGAAAGUUUCAAUUCAUAAGUUCAACCUUUACCCUCUUCUCAUUUCUUUCUGUUCUGGUUUCACCUUAAUUUAUAUGUGCUUUAUUUGACUUCCCUUCUUCCUUCUCCUUUCACUGACUCCUAAGCAGAAGAUGGAACAAGCUUGUGGAAAUAGACACAACUAAUAACUGUUGGCAAAUAUCAUUAGCAUCUCCGCAAGGAAUACAACAUAUGACAAUUAGUGACCAGUCCAGCAGAGGUGUUGGCUCUUUGCAUUGGUACAGG
ensembl:lncRNA